rnacentral:rRNA from 1 species
AUUGAACGCUGGCGGCAUGCCUUACACAUGCAAGUCGAACGGUAACAGGUCUUCGGAUGCUGACGAGUGGCGAACGGGUGAGUAAUACAUCGGAACGUGCCUAGUAGUGGGGGAUAACUACUCGAAAGAGUGGCUAAUACCGCAUGAGAUCUACGGAUGAAAGAAGGGGAUCGCAAGACCUUGUGCUACUAGAGCGGCCGAUGGCAGAUUAGGUAGGUGGUGGGAUAAAAGCUUACCAAGCCGUCGAUCUGUAGCUGGUCUGAGAGGACGAUCAGCCACACUGGGACUGAGACACGGCCCAGACUCCUACGGGAGGCAGCAGUGGGGAAUUUUGGACAAUGGGCGAAAGCCUGAUCCAGCAAUGCCGCGUGCAGGAUGAAGGCCUUCGGGUUGUGAACUGCUUUUGUACGGAACGAAAAGCCCUGGGUUAAUACCCUGGGGUCAUGACGGUACCGUAAGAAUAAGCACCGGCUAACUACGUGCCAGCCGCCGCGGUAA